AUUGAACGCUGGCGGCAGGCCUAACACAUGCAAGUCGAGCGGAUGAAGGGAGCUUGCUCCUGGAUUCAGCGGCGGACGGGUGAGUAAUGCCUAGGAAUCUGCCUGGUAGUGGGGGAUAACGUCCGGAAACGGGCGCUAAUACCGCAUACGUCCUGAGGGAGAAAGUGGGGGAUCUUCGGACCUCACGCUAUCAGAUGAGCCUAGGUCGGAUUAGCUAGUUGGUGGGGUAAAGGCCUACCAAGGCGACGAUCCGUAACUGGUCUGAGAGGAUGAUCAGUCACACUGGAACUGAGACACGGUCCAGACUCCUACGGGAGGCAGCAGUGGGGAAUAUUGGGCAAUGGGCGAAAGCCUGAUCCAGCCAUGCCGCGUGUGUGAAGAAGGUCUUCGGAUUGUAAAGCACUUUAAGUUGGGAGGAAGGGCAGUAAGUUAAUACCCUGCUGUUUUGACGUUACCAACAGAAUAAGCACCGGCUAACUUCGUG
rnacentral:rRNA from 1 species